UACGUAGGGCGCAAGCGUUGUCCGGAUUUAUUGGGCGUAAAGAGCGUGUAGGCGGCCAGGUAGGUCUGCUGUGAAAACUCGAGGCUCAACCUCGAGACGUCGGCGGAAACCAUCUGGCUAGAGUCCGGAAGAGGAGAGUGGAAUUCCUGGUGUAGCGGUGAAAUGCGUAGAUAUCUGGAGGAUACCGGUGGCGAAGGCGCAUCCUGGACCGGCAUGACGCUGAGGAGCGAAAGCCGGGGAGCAAACGGG
rnacentral:rRNA from 1 species